CCAGACUCCUACGGGAGGCAGCAGUGGGGAAUAUUGCACAAUGGGGGGAACCCUGAUGCAGCGACGCCGCGUGGGCGAAGAAGUAUUUCGGUAUGUAAAGCCCUAUCAGCAGGGAAGAAGAAAUGACGGUACCUGAGUAAGAAGCACCGGCUAAAUACGUGCCAGCAGCCGCGGUAAUACGUAGGGGGCAAGCGUUAUCCGGAUUCACUGGGCGUAAAGGGAGCGCAGGCGGCACGGCAAGUCUGGUGUGAAAGCCCGGGGCCCAACCCCGGGACUGCAUUGGAAACUGCCGGGCUGGAGUGCCGGAGGGGCAGGCGGAAUUCCUGGUGUAGCGGUGAAAUGCGCAGAUAUCAGGAAGAACACCGGUGGCGCAGGCGGCUUGCUGGACGGCAACUGACGCUGAGGCUCGAAAGCGUGGGGAGCAAACAGGAUUAGAUACCCUCGUAAA
rnacentral:rRNA from 1 species